GAGAUAUUAAAAAUUGCUAGAAACACAGGACAACUUUGCAGUGUGUGUUUCAGCUCAGAACACCUACCUUAGUGCAAAGGCCUGGCUGAUCCCACUGCUGAACUACAAAGAGCUGUGUGGACAGGAUAUCCCUUUGACCCUGAGCUUCAGAUAAGCCCCACAGACACUCAACGCUGGAUACAUCUGUCAAGAUGGAAUGUUUAAAUGUGUGAACUUCUAAAAGUAAGGGCCAAGAUAACAAAAGAAGAAAUAAUUACAGAUCUUGGUUUCACUGGACCUGUCUCCUCUCCUGUAAAAAGAAGUUGAUAUGAAUGCCUGCCUGUUUUUGUUACCAUGAGCUUAUGCAUAGAGAGAGCUUAACCAGAGCUGGCACACAGUAAACAGAGUGUGGCGUGUUUACUACUGUUAUCAUUUGUGAGGACACUACCACUAUAAGGCAACACAGCCCUAACUAAACCACUCCUGCAAGUGGCUUCACUCCACCAGGAUCUACUCUUUGUUUUUGAGACAGAGUCUCGCACUGUCUCUCCCAGGAUGGAGUGCAGUGGCACAAUCUUGGCUCACUGCAGCCUCCGCCUCCUGGGUUCAAGCAAUUCUCCUAUCUCAGCCUCCCAAGGAGCUGGGACUACAGGUGUGUGCCACCACACCCGGUUA